CGGCGGCCAUGUCGGGGCGGGGCGGCCUCGCUGCCAGCUCCGCGGGGGCGCGCGGCUGCUGCGUGUGCGCGGUAGCGGUAGCGGGAGGGCCUUGUUUCCCCUCGGGACGGGAGGAGUUAGUGGCGGGAGUCUGGAUUUGACCUUUCUCAUCAGUGGUUUAGCUGGAAGAGAUGUGUUAAUACCAAGCUGGUGAAAUAGAAAGCUGCUACAAAUGAAGAGAAGAAGAAGAAAAACAAACACUGGAGACAUGAACUUCUGAGGAAAAGAGGACCUCAAAGUUUUUUAGUGUUAUCAUCUAUUCAUUUUUCUCCCAACCUGGUUUUGCCAUGAAAUAUUGGUGCAGUCUGUAAGUGGAAGCUAUAAUGUCUUUCAAGCAUUUCUCUUGUCCUGUACCCUGUUGGGAAGUGGGUUGCAAACAAACAGGGUGUCAGGAGUUCUGGGCAAACACCCGUGGAGCUGGGAAGAGAGGGCUGGGCUGAGCCCAGCUGGGAUGGUGCCACUGUGCUGCUGUGGGCAAGCUCAAACCUCUGCUUGGGCUCUGCUUUGCUCCUGGCCGGGGUGGCCUCAGAGCAGCUCCAGCAUCCAUCUCUUCUCCAAGCUGCAUCCCCUCUGGCACUAGACUCCUAAGAUGUAUGUUGCAGCUUGUAGAGCUACUGUGCUAAUCUUGGCCUCACACCCUGCAGAGCUCUUUGUUCAGAAGACAGAUAAAAGAACAUGUCUGAUUAUUUGAGAGAGCAAUGAUCUCAAUGUGCCUGAUGUUUUGUUUUUGCUUAGAAACUGUUGGGAUAAAAGCCCUGACAAAUGUUUGGAAGAUAAUGUCAUGGUUUUGGGUUUGCUACCUCUCCCCAUUCUUUUCAGGGCUGGGAAAUCUUAAAAUCCAAUUUCUCCAAGCUUCCCACAAAGAAAGUUGCAUCCCGUAUUUUUUUGAAAAUUUUCCAUGUUUAAGAAGAACAUUCUUCCAAGAUGGCUCUUAGCAUAAAUUUUCUUGAAGGAAAAAACAUUUUACUCUAUAGAGCUACUUUAGGGAAUAGUUGCAGUAUGGUAAAACAGUCUCUGUUAAAGAUAUUUAUGUGGGGUUUGUAAUAAUUUGCUGCUUAGUGUCUCCAUUUUUAAAACUACUGUUACUAAUAAGGGAGGACAUGAGGCGUUGGCUAUUUAAAAACAGGUUCUGCUCUUAAAUUGAUGGAAGCACAACAGGUAAACAGAGAAGCGUCACAGUGUGUGAACAGUUCAGGUUGACAGAAGAGGGAGAGCUGUUACUGUUUCAUUCUUCGGAGCCAAGCAAAUGGCAUUGCUGCAACUGUCCUGUCAUUUGGGUUUUAUAUAUAAAUAAGUAUGUGUGUGUAUGCACAAAUACAUAUACACAGUGUAAAUGUACAUGCAUGAAGCACAUGUUUAAACAUUGGUUUUGUGCAGUAUCUGUAGAAUUACAUAAGUAAUAAAUAUAGCCAUGAUUUUUGUUUUGCAAAUUUGUAGCUUCAGAAUAUACACUAGGGUCUCUUUAAAUUCAGUAUGUCGUAUAUUAUUAUUAUUAUUAUUAUUAUUAUUAUUAUUAUUAGCUACAGUAGAUUCUAUUGCUGCUUUCCUUCCAAACCACAUACUUUUCACUCCUUCUGAGAUUUGUGUUUAAAUGUGCAUGCUGUUAGAGAAACAGACUGUCUGUAACCUAGUUACCAGCAAGGAAUUAUUUUUGUCCUGUGGUAUUCCAUCAGCACUCCUAACUAUCAUGAUAAACAUGGCUGGGAAACUGGGCUCGCCUGAAAUCUCUAAAUACCUGAAAAUUUCGAACACAUUAGAACAACUAAUGUCUUGAAUAUACAUAACAUACUUCGCUUUAGUGGCCUUCUUAUUUCUGGAGGUUAAAGAAAAAAUAGUUAGACACAAGCGCAUUUUUCCUCUGUAUGUUUAGUGUUACCCAAACUAGAAUUUAAAGAGAGGAAUUGGAAAACCAUGGAGGCAGGAAAAUGUUAGCUUUGAUUAAAAGUACAGACUUGUCUAGGGAAAAAAGCUUUGUGCAGCAAUGAAUGAUAUACUUUUAUCAUUACCAGCAGUCUCAAGAACUUUGCAGUUUUGCAGACUGUGCAAAUUUUCUUGAACUAUGGCAUAUAAGUGGGGUGAUAAAGAAAUCAUACUAAUUCUGAGAGGAACUUUUUGGAUUAAGUGAACUGUAUAUUUUGAUUAUGUGCUGUUCUGAUCUCUAGAAAGAACACUGGAAGAAAGAGGCUUUCCUUUCACUAAAUUUCUUCUCUGACCUAAAGUUACUAAACCUGGUGAUGAAGACAGCAUUGGAUUACUUAUGGUUUGCUUUUGGACUGUUCAUGUGAAGGAGAAAAAGAACUACCAGACACUAUCCCUUAUCCAGGAAUUCCUAGCAGUUUUAAAGUCUGUGGUCAACAUUUGGCUUUGAAAUGAACAGCAAAUACAACGCGGAUAUUAAUACAGACGUGUUUGGCUGAUUUCAGUUUGUAGCAGCAUGCUUCAAGUCCUGUAGAAUCUGGAAAGGUUUAUAAUACAGUAUUUGGUAGGUAUCUUAGAAUGACAGUAAAUUACCAUGAUUUCAAGAAUAAAUUUUUGCUUUUAUUUUAUCUGGUAAAUUACUGAAGCUUGGUGUAUAUUUGUAAAAUGUUAAGUAGGAAUGGCAAAUUUUCAUGAGCAAGGAAAUGAGAAGUGACUCACCUAUGUUUUUUUUUUUAAUUAUUAUUUCAGUUACAAGGUUACAAACCUUAUAACAUACAAAAGCAUAACAACCCAAAAUAGGGACAAAUACCAUUUUACUGGUUGUUUGUGUAAAUUCAUGAUUUAUGUGUGAGGUGGAUACUAGACUGGUUUAUCUGUCUUACAAAGGAUGCUCUUCUAGUAAGUUGUGCUUCUAGUAAUUAAGAGGCAUUCUAUAAAAAAUAGUCCAACAUACUUGCUCUUUUUACUUAUAUGUAUUAAUGAUAUUUAGUCACACUUAUCUGCUAUGGGGCUGAAUAAUACAAGUUUGCUCAAAAUAUAUUACUUGAGGUCAGUCGUGGUUUAUUUAUAUUAGCAUAUUUAUAGCACAUGAGCUUCAUGAGUUUGUUUGGCUAACAAUAUCUAUAAGAAAGCUGGUCAAUAUUAUAGUACCACUUUUCAAAUGUCUCUCUGAUUCACAAAGGGAGGUGCGUGCUCUUGGUCUGUUUUACAGAGUGAUGUUAGAAGUACCAGGGAAGGUGUGCGAAACUGGAAUUUAAUCAGAACAGUGCUAAAAGAGUGGAAAAUAGUUACCAAAGAUUUCCUCCAUACUUCUGUGGAAUUAAACUCUAGGAAAAUG